rnacentral:ncRNA from 19 species
AUUAUCGCAUAACUCCGAGCUUAUUUAACCUACGUUUCUACAAUAGAAAUAAGGUGGUAAUGCCAAUAGCAUAAAACUUGUGCUAUUCAGGGAUACGCUGGAAACGGUUUAUCCUCUCGUAUUUUAGAAAGGUGUGACAUGCAAACAAUU